AAGUCGUAACAAGGUUUCCGUAGGUGAACCUGCGGAAGGAUCAUUACAGUAUUCUUUUGCCAGCGCUUAAUUGCGCGGCGAAAAACCUUACACACUAUGUUUUUUUAAUUUGAACUAUUGCUUGUCUGUCAGUUAAAUGAAAUAGGGUUGGGGGCCCAAAAGGGUUUUUUAAUUUACCCCAAAAACCUUUCAAAUUAUUUUAAUUGAAUUUGUUAUUUUAAUUUUUUGUCAAUUUGUUGAUUAAAUUCAAAAACUUCAAAA
rnacentral:misc_RNA from 1 species